AUUGAACGCUGGCGGCAUGCUUUACACAUGCAAGUCGAACGGCAGCGCGGGCUUCGGCCUGGCGGCGAGUGGCGAACGGGUGAGUAAUACAUCGGAACGUGCCCAGUAGUGGGGGAUAGCUCGGCGAAAGCCGGAUUAAUACCGCAUACGACCUUAGGGUGAAAGCGGGGGAUCUUCGGACCUCGCGCUAUUGCAGCGGCCGAUGGCAGAUUAGCUAGUUGGUGGGGUAAAGGCCUACCAAGGCGACGAUCCGUAGCCGGUCUGAGAGGACGACCAGCCACACUGGGACUGAGACACGGCCCAGACUCCUACGGGAGGCAGCAGUGGGGAAUUUUGGACAAUGGGCGAAAGCCUGAUCCAGCCAUGCCGCGUGUGUGAUGAAGGCCUUCGGGUUGUAAAGCACUUUUGGCGGGAACGAAAAGGACUGUGCCAAUACCACGGUUCGAUGACGGUACCCGCAGAAUAAGCACCGGCUAACUACGUG
rnacentral:rRNA from 1 species